rnacentral:rRNA from 1 species
UGGGAAUAUUGGGCAAUGGGCGAAAGCCUGACCCAGCGACGCCGCGUGAGGGAAGAAGGCCUUCGGGUCGUAAACCUCUGUCAUUGGGGACGAAGGAAGUGACGGUACCCAAGGAGGAAGCCCCUGCUAACUACGUGCCAGCAGCCGCGGUAAUACGUAGGGGGCUAGCGUUGUCCGGAGUUACUGGGCGUAAAGGGCGUGUAGGCGGCUUGUUAAGUCAGGUGUGAAAUUCCAGGGCUUAACUCUGGAACUGCGCUUGAAACUGGCGAGCUAGAGGACAGGAGAGGGAAGUGGAAUUCCCGGUGUAGCGGUGUAAUGCGUAGAUAUCGGGAGGAACACCAGUGGCGAAGGCGGCUUCCUGGACUGUACCUGACGCUGAGGCGCGAAAGCUAGGGGAGCAAAC